ensembl:miRNA
UGUUUUAAGACCAAAGACUGUGCACUAAUCUCUUAGCACUGAAGAUUAGUGCAUAGUCUUUGGUCUCAAAAUA